rnacentral:lncRNA from 1 species
AACAAGAAACAUGGUGCACUUUUAGCUAAACACAACCACAUACAUAUUGUCAGAUUACACUUCAUAUAUCUACAUCUAGAAAGUUCUUCAAAAUGUGGUCGAUUGUUUUCUCCACCAACAAAAACCAGAGGGAUUAGGUAAGUAGAAAUUAGUAAUGAAGCUACAUUUUUAUGCUAUGGUCGUAAUUGUUGAUUACUGUCAUCUUGGGGC